AACCUUGUUAUCGAAUGAUUCAAACCAAUCGUCACAAGGUGGUCAGAUAUAGAUAUAAGGGCACAGCUACAACCAUGUAUUUCACUAAAGAAAAUAAUAACCUUCAGCAGAAUGGACAAUUAUUUGAUGCCCAAAUAAAGAAGCAAAUAAAAAAGGUCAGUACAUAGCUUUGCUUUUCUGUUUGCCAAUAUUCAGAUUCAGGCAUCAGAUCUAGAUGCA
rnacentral:misc_RNA from 1 species